ACUCCUACGGGAGGCAGCAGUGGGGAAUAUUGCACAAUGGGCGCAAGCCUGAUGCAGCAACGCCGCGUGAGCGAUGAAGGCCUUCGGGUCGUAAAGCUCUGUCCUAUGGGAAGAUAAUGACGGUACCAUAGGAGGAAGCCCGCUAACUCAGUGCCAGCAGCCGCGGUAAUACGGAGGGUGCGAGCGUUAUCCGGAUUUAUUGGGUUUAAAGGGUCCGUAGGCGGAUUAAUAAGUCAGUGGUGAAAUCCCAUCGCUUAACGAUGGAACUGCCAUUGAUACUGUUAGUCUUGAAUGAGGGUGCAGUGGUUGGAAUGUGUAGUGUAGCGGUGAAAUGCAUAGAUAUUACACAGAACACCGAUUGCGAAGGCAGAUCACUAACCCUAAAUUGACGCUGAGGGACGAAAGCGUGGGGAGCGAACAGGAUUAGAUACCCUGGUAGGCUCUGCU
rnacentral:rRNA from 1 species